UUAUAAUCUAAAUUGUUAAUUCGUAGGUAUUCGGAUAAAAGAGCGUAUGGGCAGUCAAAACUCGCGAACAUUUUACAUGUCAAAGAGCUUACUCGUCGAUUUAAAGAAGAGGGUGUGAACAUAACAGCGAACGCGGUGCAUCCAGGGUUGAUAAUGACGCCUCUUAUGAGGCAUUCUAUGCUUCUCAUGAGGCUUUUGCAGGCUUUCUCCUUCUUUAUCUGGAAGAAUGUUCCUCAGGGGGCAGCGACAACGUGCUAUGUGGCACUCCACCCGAGCUUGAAGGGAGUGAGCGGGAAAUACUUUUUGGACUGCAACGAGAAGCGAGCAAGCUCAUACGCUAGAGACGAAACACUUGCAAAGAGACUGUGGGACUUCAGCAAGAACUUAAUAAAUUCAUCCUACAAAGUAUGAAACGAAGUCAUGAGGAAGCUGAACUUUAUAAAGAAUUAAGAGAGAUUAAAUAAUUUGGUUGUUAGGAAAAUAUAUAUAAAUAUUAUAUUUUAGUCGAUAGUUUUUGUUUUUAAGGAUGGUGGUGUUGUGGGCCUUGGAAGGCCGUAGUAUUGGUGUUAUCAUUCCAUUCAUAUUAUUUGAUAGUGAUAUUCAAUCCAUUAACUAAGUUACCUUUAUCUUCUA